rnacentral:rRNA from 1 species
GAUGAACGCUAGCGGCAGGCUUAACACAUGCAAGUCGAGGGGCAGCAUAAUGGAUAGCAAUAUCUAUGGUGGCGACCGGCGCACGGGUGCGUAACGCGUAUGCAACCUACCUUUAACAGGGGGAUAACACUGAGAAAUUGGUACUAAUACCCCAUAAUAUCAUAGAAGGCAUCUUUUAUGGUUGAAAAUUCCGAUGGUUAGAGAUGGGCAUGCGUUGUAUUAGCUAGUUGGUGGGGUAACGGCUCACCAAGGCGACGAUUCAUAGGGGGACUGAGAGGUUAACCCCCCACACUGGUACUGAGACACGGACCAGACUCCUACGGGAGGCAGCAGUGAGGAAUAUUGGUCAAUGGACGCAAGUCUGAACCAGCCAUGCCGCGUGCAGGAUGACGGCUCUAUGAGUUGUAAACUGCUUUUGUACGAGGGUAAACGCAGAUACGUGUAUCUGUCUGAAAGUAUCGUACGAAUAAGGAUCGGCUAACUCCGUG